rnacentral:lncRNA from 10 species
UGGCCUUCUCGCGGCUUUCCCCCGAUAUCUCUCUUUAUUCCAGCUGCCUGAAACUCGGUCCCACGAAUGGCAGGCAGCGUCCAAAAUUCAACCCCGUAAAGCCAGCACCAGCCAAUAAAGCGCACGGAUGGAGGCCACGUGACAGCAGUGGGCCGGCCCUCCGGCUGAGCCCUGAUCUCUAUGGUUUCCGCGGCUCGCUAGAAGGAGUGUGGUCCACCGGAGGACUCCCUACAUUCUUCCUCCAUUACCUCACUGCCUCCGGUGGCUGCUGGGAUACCGGAGGACUCGGGUCCCGGCUCGACUCAGUCCUCCAGCCGCCCGGGGAAUACCUCUAGUUCUUCCCGGCCGCCGCCGCCGCCGCCGCCCCGCCGCUUCCUCCUCCGCCUGCCGGCCUCCUUCGCCCCGUCCCGUCCGCGCAGCGCGUCCGGCCCGCCCGCAGGCCAGCUUCUCUCGGGAGCCCCCACCCAGGCGCAUGGCUCCAUGAAGCAAGAGGAGGAGGCAGAGCGCGAGAGGUCCCGUCCGCCCCAGCCGCGUCUGGGCCAGGAUAAAAGCAAAACCAUAUUCCUGCUGCUGUCAGUUAUGAUGCACUGAGAAAACUUCAGAGACCUAAACUUUUUCCAGAGAAGAGAAGCUUUACUGGUGUUCCAGCCCUAAGGCUCAUAUGACAUUAACAGACAAGACACUUUUCAGAAAGACAGGGCCCUGCUAAGGAGUUUCAAUCUGCUUCAUGGACGUUCAACCUGCCUCUCCCCUUGUCUGGAAUGAUCUUCCUCUGAUGUUCCAUCCACCUUACUUUUUCUGAUCUCUUUAUUCAGUGUAGCUUUCAAUUCACCUCAAGCAACGUGUUGGACCUUCCGGAGCUUCUCAGAAGACAGAGGGUUUUCUUUUGAGGUAAAUUUGAUAGUACAUUUUGAUAGUACGGGAGGCGAUACGGCAUGGUGACAGAAAAGCGCCGGCUUGGUUAGCAGGACCACCUGGCAGGGCUGCAGGCUGUGCCACUUACCAGGCAGGGGACCUUGGGCCAGCUGCUUGGCCUCACUCACCCUGUUUCUCAGCUGCAAUUGGGAUGAACAGACUGCCUGCUUCGGGGUUGCCUAAAACUCACAUUGGUUAAUGAUGUGAAAUGCUUAGCGCAGUGCCUGGCAUAGAGAGAAUUCUCAUUAGAUGAUACCUCAGCUGGGCUUUAGGAGCUACAGAAGAAGCUGCAUCUCCAUGAGCUCAGCGUGUUUCUAGCUUUCCUUUUUGUUUUCUAUUCAACCUUUCACCCAACUCAGCUUCUCAAUCCCUAAAUGACAAAGGUUUGGGAAGGAAGACUUGGACCGAGGCUUGCAUUUGUUUCUGAGAAUUAAACGUUAUGUUUUCUUCAAUCUAAAUAGGUUUGCUUGUACAGCCUUGUUGAAUGGUUUUUUUUUUUUUUCUCCAUGAUAAAUGACUCUCAACUUCUUUUCCCUCAUCUAAUUGCUUAUCUACAUACAAUGCCUGGAAGGAAAUAAAUGUAAUGGCCCGUAGCAACUGGCCUUCAGGUAUCAAGUUUAAGUCCCUUUAAGCAGAACAGCAAAUUGAGCACAGAAUGAACUGGUUUCAUGGUAGCGUACUGCAAUUAGAUGCAAGAAUAGGGAAAGCAGGGUGCUUCAAGUGGUGACACAAUUAGUAUAGCACUGAGGGACUUCUCUUUCCACUUCUUCAACUCCGCCUGCAUUCCGCUGGCUGAAGAGUUGAUGACAUCCCUGAAAAAUCUUCCCUCUCUUGUUUCUCUGAUGCCACCUCUGUGUUCUCCGCCUCACUGGCCACACUUCCUUUACCUCCCAAACUUUUAACUCUGAGUGUCCCAAACUUGUCUCAUCACCUACCCCUGCUGCCCAGCUCCCCAGCCUGUUCCCCUUCUGACACGGGCACUCUCCUUCUGCUCUCUUGGGAGAGAAACAAUGAAGGCCUAUUUGGCACUUUUAUUUCUAUUCAAGGAACCAGACUGUGAACAAGUUUACCAUUUAGUCCUUUGGACUGUGUCUUGAAUUCAUCCCUCUUCUCCAUUCUCACCAGCACCAUCAUCAUGAUGGCUAAUAUUUCCUGAGCACCUUUCAUUCAGGCAUGAUGCCAGGUGCACCAACUUACUUAAUCCUCAUAGCCACCACCUGAGCAAGCUCCUGUUUUAUAAAUGGACCAGUUCUUGUUGCUGUUGUACAAGUUAUUUUCUUUCUAUAACGUCCUCCUUGUCCUCCUUCCACAUUCUUAAAGAAACUUUCCCUUCCUUUAAAGUACUCAGGGAGCCCUGCAUUGCUUCUUGAAGCCUUCUCCAGCUUCAUCAUCUCACAGUGGUCUCUCUUUUCACUAAAUGUCCAAUAUGCUGCACAUAAGUACCCCAAAGUUAGCACAGAAUUGUUCCAUGGCUGUCAUAUAUGUUAAAAAUCAUUAAAAGUUCAUUUUUUCUCCCAUUAUGGGAAGGAUACAUGCUCCUACUAGUAAAUUUAGUUGGUAGAAAAAAAUUAUCACUAUCUAGACUGCUUUCCCUUUAGUCUUUAUGCAUAGCUUUCUGUCUGCCUAUUUUUACUUUGUGUUUGUAACUUACUAUUAUAAAAUAUGCAUCUCUAUGUUCAUUGUCAACAUUAUUUACAAUAACAUGGAGUGGAUUUACAUGUAUUCUCUAUAUUUGGAUUAAAGGAGAUAGAGUAUGUGAAAUUAAAUGGGAGAAGUAUCUGAUACAUAACAGGCAAUACAAAUAUUAUCACAUAGCGUCAAUUUAUUUGUGAAUAUUGAAAGCUCCA